rnacentral:piRNA from 1 species
UCCCAGGGCUUUUACAGUUUUCCUCAGCGU